rnacentral:rRNA from 1 species
UACAGAGGUCUCAAGCGUUGUUCGGAUUCAUUGGGCGUAAAGGGUGCGUAGGCGGCGCGGUUAGUCGGGUGUGAAAUCUCGGAGCUUAACUCCGAAACUGCAUUCGAUACUGCCGUGCUUGAGGACUGGAGAGGAGACUGGAAUUUACGGUGUAGCGGUGAAAUGCGUAGAUAUCGUAAGGAAGACCAGUGGCGAAGGCGGGUCUCUGGACAGUUCCUGACGCUGAGGCACGAAGGUCAGGGGAGCAAACGGG